UAGCCUACGCUUCCUAAGAUGAAGCAAAAGCAUUUUGAGUAACAUUAGUCCUCGAAUUACUAGGGAUGAUCCAAGUCUACAAAGAAACCAAUCCAAACGUUUGAAAUGUACUUUGAAAUAGAAGAUAAAUUAAUGUGUUAAUGAAUGUCAUAAAAAACGUGAGAAACCCUGUUUGAAACGCCUAUUUCAGGUACUUACUGGCAUAGUACGGAAAACCAAUAGAGAAGGAAAUACACACAACAGCGGAGAUAAUUCGAGAAAUAGGAUGUUUUUUGUAUUUAAGUUCUCUGGUUGGUGGAAGAAAACUCUUUAGAUUUGAAAUACCAAAACCUUUACCGUCAUCCUGCAUGUCAUUUUGUGCCUGAAAUACGAAACUAUUUCUUUUUAUUGAUGGUUUGGUAGUGUUUUCACCGGGCAACAUCCAAUUUAUUUUUUCACUGUGCAAUUCAAUGUCACGAACGUUUCCAAAGAAGUCCGUUAUUAAAAUGUCAUCCGGGCUUCUUCGUAAGUUGAUGGGUUGGACACCAGGUGUAGAAUGAAUUUCAUACGGAUUAUAGGAGUUGAUCAAAUCCUGCAUAGUCAAUUUGCUUUUACUAUCAACCCUAUUUUCUAAGAAUUCCAAAUUAGAAAAGGUGAAGCGAUCGAUCACUGCAACUCCAAUAUCGAUAUCAGCAUGAUGGGAAUAAGAAGAAGUUCCCACUUCACUGCUACCAAUUGCCAAGACGUUUGGCGAAUAGAUUUUUGUAUACAAAGAAUUUGCCUGGCAUGUAUCUACCAUAAAUAGGAUUUCAUUGUAUCUCUUGUGUUGAUGUAUUUGCUCAAUUGCAUCAGCAAGGUCCUCAGAACUCAAUUCUUCAGCAUCUUGAAAUUUAAUAAAACCAUCGCCUCCAUGACCUGUCAUAUAAAUUAGGAUAUUAGAUCUUUCGUUUGUCAAUAAUCGUUUGCUGGCUGGUGUAUUUUCAGGGACUCUCUCUGUCAACAAUCUGAUAAACGCUUCAACAGUAACUUCAUAGCCCUUAUAAUCAAUUUCAAUUUCUUCUCCAUACAAAUCUAAUGCUCUAUCUGCAUUAUCAAAAACUGUUCCUGGAAACAAAUUUCGAGAGUUGCAAGCGUAGUCGUCAGCUAUCAUCAAUAUAAUUUGACUGUCUGGGAUUCCAAGACGCUUGACUGAUCUGUAUAUUCCUAAAACAUUCGCAGUAUGUCUGUAGUUGAACCAAAAACGCGAGGUAGAAAUUAAGACGGCCCAAUUAUUUGUAUG